AUGCAGCUCAACUACCGCGUGCCAAGCCCAUGCGUGAGUAAAUACGGCAGGCGCAGCUCAACCCAUCAAGCCAUGGCAGACUUGCUCCUCCUAACCCUGCUUCCCUUGGCUCUCCUCUUCCUCCUCCUCCACCAUGCAUCGCCAAUCAAAGCCCUUCUCACGAGGGCCAAGUCGGUUUUGGCACCGGAGCUCUCCACGGUGUGGAAGCCACAGCCAGCUAGCAUCUUCGUCACGGACCCCGAGACGGCGCACAGCCUUCUCGUGCGCGGCAGCGCCGGUGGCUCCUUCUCCAACCGCCCACCGUCCAUUUCUCCCAGCGCCAUCCUCUCGCGCCGUCAAUACCAGAACAUCACCUCCGCUCCCUACGGUGAGCACUGGCGCGCCAUUCGUCACAACCUCACAUCAGAGGUCCUCCACCCAACGCAGCUCCACCGGCACGCGUCAGCGCGCCGCCGUGCACUACAUGGACUCGUCGUGGACCUCGCCGAGCAGAGGAAAAACGGCGUGGUUCACGCGGCGGAGAGCAUCCGCUACGCUAUGUUUGGCCUGGUGGCCAACAUGUGUUUCGGCGACGACAUCGACAAUAACCGCGUCCGUGCCAUGGCCGACGCUCAGAGUGACCUCGUCAAGUCCCUAUCUACGGCGCGCGUGUUCGCGCACGCGAAGCUCCCCGCACUGACCAGGCUCAUUUAUCGUAAUCGGUGGAAGAAGCUAGCCGCCCUGCGACAGCAGCAGGAGCAGACGUACCUACCACUCAUCGACUCCCGUCGCGGCCGGCACCGGCGACCCAGCGAGACGCCGGUGUAUGUGGACACGCUCAUCGAUCUCAAGGUGCCGGACGACCACAGUCAGGACCCAAGGCGGCAUCGAAGAAGGCUGUCCGAUGGUGAACUCGUCGGCAUGUGCUCCGAGUUCCUUGGUGCUGGAACUGAAACGACAGCAUCAGCGCUGCAGUGGAUCAUGGCCAACUUGGUGAAGCGUCCUGACAUACAGGAGGCCGUCCGGAAGGAGAUCAAUGCCGUCGUGGGUGCGGACGCCGAGGAAGUCAGCGAGGUUGUUCUUGGGAAGCUGGAGUACCUGCACGCUGUGAUCAUGGAGGCACUCCGGCUGCAUCCGCCGACGGAAAAGUAA
rnacentral:rRNA from 1 species